UUGGUAAGUAUGCCAAAAACCUUGAGACACUUUCAGUGGCUUUUGCUGGCAGCAGUGACUGGGGUAUGCAGUGUGUGCUCGACGGCUGUUCUAAGCUGAGGAAGCUGGAGAUAAGGGAUUCUCCAUUUGGAAAUGCAGCACUUCUUUCUGGAAUGGGGAAGUAUGAAUCAAUGCGGUGUCUUUGGAUGUCAGCUUGCAGGGUCACCAUGAAUGGUUGUAGAAUACUUGCACAAGAGAGGCCUAGGUUGAAUGUCGAGGUAAUCAAAGAUGAGCACAGCGAUGAUUAUGCUGAUAAAUUAUACGUCUAUCGCUCUGUAGCAGGGCCACGAAAGGAUGCCCCACCUUUUGUUGUAACUCUCUAGCACAAAGAAACAGGAACUUUGGUAAGCUCCUUCCCUUGCUCUCCUCUGUCCUAUGCUUGCUAAAAUAACGUGGAGUGGAAAGAUGAUAUGCUGAUAAUGCUAAGUUUUAUUUUUAUCUGUAGGUGUGCACUGGGAUACCCUUCUAUUUCAGCUAGUUUUAUCUGCUACAUGCAUGAUGUUUGUAAAGGUGAACGAGAGAAAGUAAGUAAAUGAAUACCUCUCCUUAUGCUGCAUUUACUAUGUUUUACUUGGAGAAGCUUGAAAUUUUCAAGGAAGAUCAACAAAAGGGAUGUUUGUGCGCGCUCUUACUGAACUAAUGCAUUAUGAGAAAGAAACCAUGCGAAGAUUCUCUUACAGUUAGUGAGACCAAAUGAUCAUCACUCGUGGAGAAGCAGGAACUGGAACGAAUGAUCACAUGACGGAGUUGAUUAUGUCUGAGAAAACUAUCAGCAGAUGAAGAGUCCUGAAUCUCACAAGAACAAGCAAGAUGAAGAACGCUGGUUUGUUGAUUCGCGGAGUUUUUUCUUUUUCUUUUUCAAAACAAUAAGUAGCAUAAACAUAAAGAAAGAAAAAUGAAAGGAGUCUCAUGUAACUUGAAUGAUGG
rnacentral:lncRNA from 1 species